AGUUUUGGUACAUGUAAGAAGGGAUAUCA
rnacentral:piRNA from 1 species